CACUUCUAAGGAAGGCAGCAGGCGCGCAAAUUACCCAAUCCUGACUCAGGGAGGUAGUGACAAGAAAUAACAAUAAACCGGCUUAUGCCGGUUUAAUUGGAAUGAGUACAAUUUAAACAUCUUAACGAGGAACAAUUGGAGGGCAAGUCUGGUGCCAGCAGCCGCGGUAAUUCCAGCUCCAAUAGCGUAUACUAAAGUUGUUGCAGUUAAAAAGCUCGUAGUUGGAUUUCUGUGGGGACGGAGCGGCCGGCCGCAACACGCGGUUCGAGCUAGCGCUUUCCCUACAUCCUGCCGCGAACCGUGCUACCAUUAGUUUGGUGGCGCCGGGGAUCGGCUCGAUUACUUUGAGAAAAAUAGAGUGUUCAAAGCAGGCCACACGCCUUGAAUAAGUUAGCAUGGAAUAAUAACUAAGGACUUCGGUUCUAUUUUGUUGGUGUUCGGGACUGAAGUAAUGAUUGAUAGGGACAGUUGGGGCGGUCUGUAUUCCAAAGCGAGAGGUGAAAUUCUUAGACCUUCGGAAGACAAACAGCUGCGAAAGCGUUCCGCAAGGAUGUUCCCUUUGAUCAAGAACGAAAGUUGGGGGAUCGAAGACGAUCAGAUACCGUCGUAGUCUCAACUAUAAACUAUACCAGCUAGGGAUCGGCCAACGUUAUUCUAUACCGACUUGGUCGGCACCUUAUGAGAAAUCAAAGCAUCUGGGUUCCGGGGGGAGUAUGGUCGCAAGGCUGAAACUUAAAGGAAUUGACGGAAGGGCACCACCAGCCGUGGAGCCUGUGGCUUAAUUUGACUCAACACGGGAAAACUUACCAGGUCCAGACAUAGUAAGGAUUGACAGAUUGAUAGCUCUUUCUUGAUUCUGUGGGUGGUGGUGCAUGGCCGUUCUUAGUUGGUGGAGUGAUUUGUCUGGUUAAUUCCGUUAACGAACGAGACCCCAGCCUGCUAAAUAGCGCGCGUGAGCUUCGCUCGCGGCGAGCUUCUUAGAGGGACUAUGAUGCGCGAUAGCACAUGGAAGUUUGGGGCAAUAACAGGUCUGUGAUGCCCUUAGAUGUUCUGGGCCGCACACGGGCUACACUGGCGCCUGCAACGAGCAUAUCAGCUGGCCCGAGAGGGUCUUGGCUAAUCUUUUGAACCGGCGCCGUGCUUGGGAUUGACCUUUGCAAUUGUUGGUCAUGCAACGAGGAAUGCCUUGUAAACGCGAGUCAUCAGCUCGCAUUGAAUACGUCCCUGCCCUUUGUACACACCGCCCGUCGCUCCUACCGAUGAAUGUUCCGAUGAAAUUUUCGGAGAGUGCCUGUGAACUUGGCUCUGCCUUGCGAACGGGAAGCUCAAAGUCACUUAAAUCUGAACAUUUC
rnacentral:rRNA from 1 species